rnacentral:rRNA from 1 species
CUCCAUGUGUAGCGGUGGAAUGCGUAGAUAUAUGGAAGAACACCAGUGGCGAAGGCGGCUGUCUGGUCUGCAACUGACGCUGAGGCUCGAAAGCAUGGGUAGCGAACAGGAUUAGAUACCCUGGUAGUCCAUGCCGUAAACGAUGAGUGCUAGGUGUUGGAGGAUUUCCGUCCUUCAGUGCCGAGGCUAACGCAUUAAGCACUCCGCCUGGGGAGUACGACCGCAAGGUUGAAACUCAAAGGAAUUGACGGGGGCCCGCACAAGCGGUGGAGCAUGUGGUUUAAUUCGAAGCUACGCGAAGAACCUUACCAGGUCUUGACAUCUUACGCUAACCUAAGAGAUUAGGCGUUCCCUUCGGGGACGCAAUGAC